CAGGGACCCAGCUUCACGCUGGUCCCGCGGGACACUCAACCUGAGAAACCAGAGCAGGGCUACGCUGAAUGGAAACAGUGAGCGGCUGCAGAAGGCUAAGUAAGGGUGGUAAAGAUGCCAGCACGAUGCUUACGAAAGGUUUUGCCUCUCCAAACCCACUCAGCCUUCAUCAAAAGGUCACGACGUAAGCACAAUUCUUAAGAUCUCCAUUCGUCCAGUGGAGCAAUGGAGGCACAGAGUGGGUGAGUAACUUGGCCAAGGUUGCACAGCCAGAAUACGGGAGAUUGAACUCUGCACCUGGACAGCUUGGUCCCAGCCACUGUGCAGGAAUCAUCUCAAAGGUGCUGGCUUUUGCCGGAAAUGCAGUCUCGGGUUACACAACCAAAAGUGGCCCAAGAGUUUUACAUUUUACCUUGAACUGGCGAGUAAUAGUUGCAUAUAUUUGAGGGGUACCUUGUCAGAUCUUGAUAUGUGUUUAUAUGGUGGCAUGACUGCGUCUCAGGUUGACAGCACCUCCGUCCCCUCGCAUGCUGCUCCUUUGUCUGAUUGCAUUGCAUUUCAGAUCUGGAUCUGUUGCCUUUGUUAAUGAAGAAGCUCACAUUUCUGCAUUACAGCACAGGUUUGCCGUGUGCCUCAGCCUGCUCAGGACGGGCCGUCAUCUCUACAUGGCAAAAGCCAGCCGGAGUUGUGCCGCCCCGCCUCUGCCGGUCUGCAGCACCCCCCGGGGUCAUCGUCCUGUACUUCGGCAAUUCUAGAGAAACCAGUGCCACCAAAUCGGAGGUGAGGAAGUCUGCGUUGCAUUUUGCACAGAGCUAG
rnacentral:lncRNA from 1 species